rnacentral:rRNA from 1 species
GAUGAACGCUGGCGGCGUGCCUAAUACAUGCAAGUCGAGCGAACAGACGAGGAGCUUGCUCCUCUGACGUUAGCGGCGGACGGGUGAGUAACACGUGGAUAACCUACCUAUAAGACUGGGAUAACUUCGGGAAACCGGAGCUAAUACCAGAUAAUAUAUUGAAUCGCAUGGUUCAAUAGUGAAAGACGGUUUUGCUGUCACUUAUAGAUGGAUCCGCGCCGCAUUAGCUAGUUGGUAAGGUAACGGCUUACCAAGGCAACGAUGCGUAGCCGACCUGAGAGGGUGAUCGGCCACACUGGAACUGAGACACGGUCCAGACUCCUACGGGAGGCAGCAGUAGGGAAUCUUCCGCAAUGGGCGAAAGCUUGACGGAGCAACGCCGCGUGAGUGAUGAAGGUCUUCGGAUCGUAAAACUCUGUUAUUAGGGAAGAACAAAUGUGUAAGUAACUAUGCACGUCUUGACGGUACCUAAUCAGAAAGCCACGGCUAACUACGUG